GUGAAUCAUCGAAUUUUUGAACGCAAAUUGCACUCUCCUCGGAGAGUAUGCCUGUUUGAGGGUCAGCCUAUAAAAAAUCGACAUCGUUGCUGUUUCGCGGUGGCGUUCGUCGGAAAUUGGGUCAUCUUAAAUCUUUUGGUUUUAAGCGACUUAAAAUUUUCUUUUUGGUUCCAUGCACGUUUCUAAGAUUUAUUUCUUACACCGUUUAGGGAUUGGUUUUUUAUUAGCCUUAACAACAA
rnacentral:misc_RNA from 1 species